AAAACCUCCUCGCCGGAAGACCAAGGGUUCCUGUCCAACGUUAAUCGGGGCAGGGUGAGUCGACCCCUAAGGUGAGGCCGAAAGGCGUAAUCGAUGGGAAACGGGUUAAUAUUCCCGUACUUCUGACUAUUGCGAUGGGGGGACGGAGAAGGCUAGGUGGGCCAGGCGACGGUUGUCCUGGUUCAAGUGCGUAGGCUUGAGAGUUAGGUAAAUCCGGCUCUCUCUAAGGCUGAGACACGACGUCGAGCUACUACGGUAGUGAAGUCAUUGAUGCCAUGCUUCCAGGAAAAGCCUCUAAGCUUCAGAUAGUCAGGAAUCGUACCCCAAACCGACACAGGUGGUCGGGUAGAGAAUACCAAGGCGCUUGAGAGAACUCGGGUGAAGGAACUAGGCAAAAUGGUACCGUAACUUCGGGAGAAGGUACGCUCUUGAUGGUGAAGUCCCUCGCGGAUGGAGCUGACGAGAGUCGCAGAUACCAGGUGGCUGCAACUGUUUAUUAAAAACACAGCACUGUGCAAAAUCGCAAGAUGACGUAUACGGUGUGACGCCUGCCCGGUGCCGGAAGGUUAAUUGAUGGGGUUAGCGCAAGCGAAGCUCUUGAUCGAAGCCCCGGUAAACGGCGGCCGUAACUAUAACGGUCCUAAGGUAGCGAAAUUCCUUGUCGGGUAAGUUCCGACCUGCACGAAUGGCGUAAUGAUGGCCACGCUGUCUCCACCCGAGACUCAGUGAAAUUGAAAUCGCUGUGAAGAUGCAGUGUACCCGCGGCUAGACGGAAAGACCCCGUGAACCUUUACUACAGCUUGGCACUGAACAUUGAACCUACAUGUGUAGGAUAGGUGGGAGGCUAUGAAGACGUGACGCCAGUUGCGUUGGAGCCGUCCUUGAAAUACCACCCUUGUAUGUUUGAUGUUCUAACUUAGACCCAUUAUCUGGGUUGAGGACAGUGCCUGGUGGGUAGUUUGACUGGGGCGGUCUCCUCCCAAAGAGUAACGGAGGAGCACGAAGGUGGGCUAAUCACGGUUGGACAUCGUGAGGUUAGUGCAAUGGCAUAAGCCCGCUUAACUGCGAGAAUGACGGUUCGAGCAGGUGCGAAAGCAGGUCAUAGUGAUCCGGUGGUUCUGUAUGGAAGGGCCAUCGCUCAACGGAUAAAAGGUACUCCGGGGAUAACAGGCUGAUACCGCCCAAGAGUUCAUAUCGACGGCGGUGUUUGGCACCUCGAUGUCGGCUCAUCACAUCCUGGGGCUGAAGUCGGUCCCAAGGGUAUGGCUGUUCGCCAUUUAAAGUGGUACGCGAGCUGGGUUUAGAACGUCGUGAGACAGUUCGGUCCCUAUCUGCCGUGGGCGUUGGAAGAUUGAAGGGGGCUGCUCCUAGUACGAGAGGACCGGAGUGGACGAACCUCUGGUGUUCGGGUUGUGUCGCCAGACGCAUUGCCCGGUAGCUAAGUUCGGAAUUGAUAAGCGCUGAAAGCAUCUAAGCGCGAAGCGAGCCCUGAGAUGAGUCUUCCCUGACAGUUUAACUGUCCUAAAGGGUUGUUCGAGACUAGAACGUUGAUAGGCAGGGUGUGUAAGCGUUGUGAGGCGUUGAGCUAACCUGUACUAAUUGCCCGUGAGGCUUAACCAUACAACACCCAAGGGGUUUUGUA
rnacentral:rRNA from 1 species